rnacentral:lncRNA from 1 species
CUCUUCCCCCUCUUCCCCCUCUUCUUCUAUUUGUUCUAAUGCAAUAUCCUCCUCCACAUCCAGAUCAUCAUCCCAACAAUCUUCAUAAUAAUCAUUAUGCAAAUAAUCUUGAGGUGAGGGAGUGCCUAGUUGAAGGGUACCACUAGGUUGAGUUUGUUUUCGUUUUCCUAAUACCGAGACUAUAUGUGUACUAGAUUGGCUACUAGAUCCGUCCAUCCUAACAAAUAAAAUAACAAUGCACAUUAAUAUAUCAUAACCACAGUUCAGCAUAUAUCCAAAUUCCAAACAAUAAAUAAACUAAAUGGUUCAAAAAUCUGAGCAGAUUCUCACAAAGAUAUAAGUAGCCCCACCCUCACAAUCUGAGCAGAUUCUAAAAAAUCUGAGCAGAUUCUCAAAAACCAGCAUGUUUCUAAACUAGGAGAAUAUAAGUAGCCCCACCCCCACAAAGAUAAUACAAACAUGAAAGUUGGAACCUACAAACAAGAGUUUUCAACACUUACUUGUAGCGCUUGUAUGCUAAACCUUUAAAAGCUGCUCGAGAACAAAUGAUUCAAGAAAAACAACCUGAAGAAUAAUAAUUCAAGAAAAUAAUUAGUAGAGAAUCAUAGUAGACUAACAUGCUUAACAUAUAUUGUGUUUUCAAACCAAUAUGGAUACAAUGCUUAACAUGCUUCAUGGAAUACAGAUAGAGCCGAAUUCACCAAACCAAGUGGGUCAAAGUAAAAUCUCAAUGCCUAUAGUAAGUUCAAAGUUUACUUCUUUCCCAAAUACUCUUCAGAUUGGCUACUGAUGUUUUUUAACCAUUUACCCAAUUGAAAUUAGAAAUUAUACAUCUAGUAAAAGCAAUAACAGCUAUAACAUCAACAACCAAAAGUAAGAAAAUUCGUCAAAGAAUGGAAAUAGUACAAAGAAGUAAGCAUCUUAUUUGUCAAUUAGCUAACUAACAGUUAAUUAUGUGAUUAGGCUAUAAUGGAAUCAGGAAAGCUAAUCAUCUAAAACAUUUUGACUGAACUAAACUAACAAAAUCGUUAGCAGUUAAAACUUUAAACCAUUUGAAAACUUCAAAGCAGAAUCUACCAACAAAAAAAAAGACUCUACAACUGACUAUCUGUUUACUAAUCUCAUGACAAAAUUCAUCAUAACUCACUCAUUCAUCUCACAUAAGUUUCUCCUUCUAUUUUAGCAUCCCUUGGGAACGCAAAAUAUACACACACACACACUGACACACUAGAUACACACACACACACACUAAUUUGUUGGUCUUAACCCUGCAUCAAUCAUAUAAGCAAAAACACUUAUUACAUAUGUAAUUGGUAUUUUUUUCUACCCAAUUCAAAAAAUUCUUUCAGAGAAUGUGCAAUCAUUUCAUAUUACAGAGGAUUGUUCAUAUUACAGAGAGAAUACAUACUAUCAUUUCAAAUGACGAAUAUAUACUAACAUGCAAAUGACGAAUAUAUACUAUCAUUUCAAAGACGAUCCCAGAUGAAGAGACAAAAUCGCAAAAGAAAAGAGAGAGAGCGAGAGGUGUGUGUGUAACGGUGAGAUAAAGAGAUUUCAGAAAACUAAAUUAAUUACCUAAUUUGGGGUGAGAGUGAGACUCAGACUCGGUGUGGUGGUGAGACCGUGAGAGAGAUCCCCAGUUCUGUGACCUGACCUGUCCGUGAAAGACAAUCGCCCUAGAGAGAGAGAGA